CCUACGGGCGGCAGCAGUGGGGAAUAUUGCACAAUGGGGGCAACCCUGAUGCAGCAAUGCCGCGUGAAGGAAGACGGUCUUCGGAUUGUAAACUUCUUUCAGUCGGGAAGAAAGAAAUAACGGUACCUACAUAAGAAACCCCCGCUAACUACGUGCAAGCAGCCGCGGUAAUACGUAGGGGGCAAGCGUUAUCCGGAAUUACUGGGUGUAAAGGGAGAGUAGGCGGUAAGGUAAGCGAUAUGUGAAAGCCUUAGGCUUAACCUGAGGAUUGCAUAACGUACUAGCUAGCUAGAGUACAGGAGAGGAGAGCAGAAUUCCUAGUGUAGCGGUGAAAUGCGUAGAGAUUAGGAAGAAUACCAGUGGCGAAGGCGGCUUUCUGGACAGAAACUGACGCUGAGGUGCGAAAGCGUGGGGAGCGAACAGGAUUAGAUACCCGAGUAGUC
rnacentral:rRNA from 1 species